UAAAAAAUUUUGGCGGUAUUUUAAGCUUAUUAGAGGAAUUUGCUCUGUGAUGGACACAACGCCUUAAUCUUACUUAAUUUAGUAAUUUAAAUCAGUUUGUAUACCACUAUAUUAAUUAUAUUGAAUAGUUAUAUUUAAAAUUUUUUUAAAAAAAUAUAUUAAGUCAAGGUGCAUCUAAUAAUUAUGAAUGAAGUGAAUUACAUUAAUUUUAAUGUAAUUUUUUAUAUGAAAAAAUUAAUUAGGAUUUAAUAGUAAAAUACUAAUAUUAUGAGUAUUUGAAUCAAGCUCUAAAAUAUGCACAUAUCGCCCGUCGCUCUCAGAAGUGAGAUAAGUCGUAACAAAGUAAAAAUACUGGAAAGUGUUUUUUAAAAUGAAAUCAUUUGAUGUUUCAUUUACAAUGAAAAUUUUGUUGUUUAACCAUUUUAA
rnacentral:rRNA from 1 species